UACAGAGGGUGCGAGCGUUGUCCGGAAUCACUGGGCGUAAAGGGCGCGUAGGUGGCGGCCCAAGUCCAUGGUGAAAGCCCGGGGCUCAACCCCGGGUCGGCCGUGCGAACUGGGCCACUCGAGCAGAUCAGAGGCAGGCGGAAUUCCGGGUGUAGCGGUGGAAUGCGUAGAGAUCCGGAAGAACACCGGUGGCGAAGGCGGCCUGCUGGGAUCUUGCUGACGCUGAGGCGCGACAGCGUGGGGAGCAAACAGG
rnacentral:rRNA from 1 species